rnacentral:rRNA from 1 species
GACGUAGGGCGCGAGCGUUGUCCGGAUUUAUUGGGCGUAAAGAGCUCGUAGGCGGCUUGUUGCGUCGACUGUGAAAACCCGCGGCUUAACUGUGGGCGUGCGGGCGAUACGGGCAGACUGGAGUACUGCAGGGGAGACUGGAAUUCCUGGUGUAGCGGUGGAAUGCGCAGAUAUCAGGAGGAACACCGGUGGCGAAGGCGGGUCUCUGGGCAGUAACUGACGCUGAGGAGCGAAAGCGUGGGGAGCGAACAGG